rnacentral:rRNA from 1 species
CCCUUAGAUGUUCUGGGCCGCACGCGCGCUACACUGACGAAUGCAACGAGCUUAUAACCUUGGCCGAAAGGUCUGGGUAAUCUCCAAAUUUCGUCGUGAUGGGGAUAGAUUAUUGCAAUUAUUAAUCUUCAACGAGGAAUGCCUAGUAAGCGCAAGUCAUCAGCUUGCGUUGAUUACGUCCCUGCCCUUUGUACACACCGCCCGUCGCACCUACCGAUUGAAUGGUCCGGUGAAGGCUCCGGAGGCGUCUUUCUCAAUGUUUAUUCGGCGAGAUUGGUGCCAAAGUUGAAUGAACCUUACCAUUUAGAGGAAGGUGAAGUCGUAACA